rnacentral:rRNA from 1 species
UACGGAGGGUGCAAGCGUUAAUCGGAAUUACUGGGCGUAAAGCGUGCGCAGGCGGUUUGUUAAGUCCGUUGUGAAAGCCCCGAGCUCAACUUGGGAAUUGCAGUGGAUACUGGCAGGCUGGAGUAUGGUAGAGGAAGGUGGAAUUCCCGGUGUAGCAGUGAAAUGCGUAGAGAUGUGGAGGAACACCAGUGGCGAAGGCGACUCUUUGGUCUGUAACUGACGCUGAGGCGCGAAAGCGUGGGGAGCAAACAGG